CCAGAACUCAGUCACUGCAGGUUAUAGCCUCCUAGUUUCCAGCCCACUGUGGGUGUUUUUGGUACCAGUGAUCGAACUCAGGACCUCAAGCUUGUGAGGGAGAUAUGGCACCACUGAGCUAAAUCCCUGUCCAAUGUUUUUUUUUUUUUUUUUUUUUUACAAGUAGGAAGAAUUUAUUGAGAGAAAGCUUGUCUAAGAGAGACAGAAGACUGACCAGAAAGUGGGUUGCCUGACCACUCUACUUCCCAGUGGUAUUUUAUUGAGCAAAGCCAUGAGGUGAGACUCUCAGAACUAUGGACACUUCCUUCCUAUUUCAGCUUUCUCACAGCUUCUGAACCUAGCCCUGUCUUCAGAACUGUUGAGUUUGAAGCAAUUUGUGUGGGAGUCGGAAGCUCCAGAGAUCCAUUCUUCUCCCCUUCCCUGCAGUGUCAACAGAAUGAUAGUGAAGGAUUAGCUGUGGGAUGAUGGUGGGGCUUGAUCUGAAACAGUGGCUUACGAGUGACGCACCCUACUGGAUGUGAGAAUGAUGGGAGACAAGAACACAAAUGAUGCUGGCCUGACAUCCCCCUGGCUUGUAAAAG
rnacentral:lncRNA from 1 species